rnacentral:lncRNA from 1 species
CUGGAAUACUCCCUUCUCCACUCCACUCACCAGCCUCUAUGGCUUCUUUCCUUUAAGUCCCAAUUAAAAUCCCACCUUCUAAACAGAGACCUUCUCAACUUCUCUUAAUUCCAACGCCUUCCCUCUUUUAAUUAUUUCCUAUUUAUCCUGUAUAUAGCUUGCUUUGUAUAUACUUGUUUGCACCUUGUCUCCCUGAUUAGAAUGUAAGCCCCUUGAAGGCAGGGACUGUCUUUUGCCUCUCUUUGAAUCCCUGGCACUUAGCACUCAGUAGAUGCUUCAUCAAUCCUUUUGGCCCGACUAAUGUUCCUUCCCUUUACCUCUUGGAACCCCUUGACCCUUUAAAAGCUCCACUCAAAUGCCACUUUCUUCAAAGGACCUUUUUCAAAACCCUUCACCAAUCACUUUGUAUUUAUCUCGCAUAUCCACAUGUUUACUUUGUUUGACUUUUGUUUCUGUCUGCCCAGGGCCUAGCAUCACACAAGGAACAUAGAAGUACAUGGCUGCAAUAUAAUAAAUUCUUCUUGGUUGAACUCUAAGGCUCUGUCCUCAGAGUCAAUGUUUCUUCCAGUGUUCUAAUGGGUGGGAUUAGGGAUUAGGUAAGGAGGAAUGGGAUGCCUUCAGAUCCAAGAAAAUUAUAGAAAUGUAGCAGCUGUCCUGGGUGCUCAAAAGAAUGUGGACACCACUGUCAGGAAAUUUGAAGGUCUUCUAUGUUUACUCUUCCUGGAGCAAUAAAUUACCACAGGGAGCUGAAGGGGUUCUGGAGAACAAAAACCAGAAUGGUGGAAUUGGAAGGGCCUUUAAGACACAGAAUGUCAGAGCUGGGACAGAUCUUAGAACAUAGAACAUCAGAGCCGAGAAGUUCCUUAGAAGAUAGAACAUCAGAGACGAGAAAACUGAGGCUCAAAUAGGGGAGGUAUUACCAAAUACCACAGGACUGGUAAGUGACAGAGCUUGGAUUCAAACUCAGGCCUCUUGAUCCCCCCCCCCCUCGGCAGACUCCUU